rnacentral:rRNA from 1 species
UCGCUCCUACCGAUUGAGUGAUCCGGUGAAUAAUUCGGACUGCAGCAAUGUUCAGCUCCUGUUCGUUGCAGCGGAAAGUUUGGUGAACCUUAUCACUUAGAGGAAGGAG